UAGGUAGUUUGAUGUUGUUGGG
rnacentral:miRNA from 1 species